CAUGCAACGGCCUAUGCGACUUUUGAGAAAUAAAUGGGGCUAACCAUGUGUAACACGGAAAUAAAGUCCUUUUUGACGAAGCGCCACCUAUUUUGCACGCACAAAGCAAAAACUGCACCUCCGGCUCACAUUCUCAAAAGUGCGGCUGGACCGGAAGUGACGUCACACGGGGCAUUCCCGGGAUGGAACAACAUUUGCAGACAAUAUUUGCCACAGCGUUACCUUUUACUUUCUUCCCCGUCGGUAAUUCCGUCAUGAUGUAAUUUUGACCGUAAUGGUGAAACGUAGUGUAACUUUUAGUUUUAGUACGUCUGCCUGAGACUGUAAAAGGCGACUGAGACCUCGCUUAUUGAAGUUCGGCAGAGGUCAAAUACAAAGUUUGAGCGCAGCGUUGUAACCUAUUCAUGCCUCUGUGGAGAGCAUUUUUCGGAAAACCUGUUUUAUGGUGGCCGCAAAGGUCAGUAAGGAGAUAGAAGGUGGGCUCAGCUACAGCCGACGACCCUCCCAGAUAAUUUGGAGGCCAGGCCGAGCUCGGCGGUGGAUGCUGAUGGAAGCAGAAAGCUGGCGUCGUCUGCUAACGGAACAAGUUCAGUCGCUGUUCAGAAACUGAACAAGCAACGGGAACUCAGGCUGCCCUUGUGAUGAUGGACAUGGGGGUUUAAUGCACACUGGAGUGAUGGCAUGGAAGAGGAGAGAGGAAGAAUAGAAUAGUAUUCUCCAACAGAAGAGGAGUUGUUAGAGGCUAGGAGAUGCAUGUAAUGAGGACAUGGAGUGUAAAAUCUAUGUGCCAGAGGAGCCACCACCACCAAAAGAAAAGAACACAUCUUUGAGUCAGACUUCUUCAUCUCUUCUCCCUCUGCAUUAUGUGUGAUAGUGGGCAGCUCAAGU